ACGGGAGGCAGCAGUGAGGAAUAUUGGUCAAUGGGCGAGAGCCUGAACCAGCCAAGUAGCGUGAAGGAUGACUGCCCUAUGGGUUGUAAACUUCUUUAGUGCGGGAAUAAAGUGAGCCACGUGUGGCUUUUUGCAUGUACCGCAAGAAUAAGCAUCGGCUAAUUCCGUGCCAGCAGCCGCGGUAAUACGGAAGAUGCGAGCGUUAUCCGGAUUUAUUGGGUUUAAAGGGAGCGUAGGCGGAAAGACAAGUCAGUUGUGAAAGUUUGCGGCUCAACCGUAAAAUUGCAGUUGAAACUGUUUUUCUUGAGUGCACAUGAGGAUGGUGGAAUUCGUAGUGUAGCGGUGAAAUGCUUAGAUAUUACGAAGAACUCCGAUUGCGAAGGCAGCUGUCUAGGGUGCAACUGACGCUGAGGCUCGAAAGUGCGGGUAUCAAACAGGAUUAGAUACCCUGGUA
rnacentral:rRNA from 1 species